rnacentral:rRNA from 1 species
CCUACGGGAGGCAGCAGUGGGGAAUAUUGCACAAUGGGGGAAACCCUGAUGCAGCGACGCCGCGUGAGUGAAGAAGUAUUUCGGUAUGUAAAGCUCUAUCAGCAGGGAAGAAAUACUGACCUUACGGUCAGCAGACGGUACCUGACUAAGAAGCCCCGGCUAACUACGUGCCAGCAGCCGCGGUAAUACGUAGGGGGCAAGCGUUAUCCGGAUUUACUGGGUGUAAAGGGAGCGUAGACGGCAGCGCAAGUCUGAAGUGAAAUCCCAUGGCUUAACCAUGGAACUGCUUUGGAAACUGUGCAGCUGGAGAGCAGUAGAGGUAAGCGGAAUUCCUAGUGUAGCGGGGAAAUGCGUAGAUAUUAGGAGGAACACCAGUGGCGAAGGCGGCUUACUGGACUGUAACUGACGUUGAGGCUCGAAAGCGUGGGGAGCAAACAGGAUUAGAUACCCGAGUAGUC